UUGCAGGUCUAGAAAUGUUAUGCAAUACAAAUUUGAUUUCAAAAAAAUGAAAGGGAACAAAAACUUUUGCUUAUCAUUUUACUCGGAGAAUGGCUGGAUUCAUUUGAGCGUGUACAGUUUUGUUUAUAAUUAGUGAAGAGAUGAAAAUAAUGAAACUGUAUGGUGCAGAAAGUGUCUUUUUCAUUACAGUUUCUGGUUCUGGGCAAGCGGUAGAUCACUAUGGCUUCUGUACCGUGAAAUGAAGCUUAUGAUAAAUAAAACACUGCUGCUUGCUGGUCACUGAUUCAAGAUCGUUCAGUGGCUACCAUUGGCCAAUCUCACCAACGGGAUAUAAUAAGAACUGAUGCAGGUUUAUAUCUAUAUGUAUUGUCUAUUCGGAACAAAGUCAGUACGCUUUUUAAACCGAUGUUGGAUUUUUCUCCAGAUACAGGCAACCCACUAAACUUUGGAAGUAGUGCGCUGGAUUUGUCUAAAGAUAUGCUAAACAACCGGA